UCCCAUCUCGAUAGGUGCUGAUUGAACGCCAAGGCGUCCCGGAACAUCUGGUACAUGGUCGUGACGCUCGAGGUGUCCCAUGCACUGAUAUCUUUGUUGAACGCGGAGGCAAAACUGAACAUCUCUUUCAUGUCCGUGACGCUCGAGGUGUCCCAUCUACCGAUAUCUUGAUUGAACGCGGCGGCUUCAUUGAACAUCCUGUACAUGGUCGUGACGCUCGAGGUGUCCCAUCUACCGAUAUCUUGAUUGAACGCGGCGGCUUCGUCGAACAUCCUGUACAUGGUCGUGACGCUCGAGGUAUCCCAUCGCGAUAUAUCCGCGUUGAAGGACCCUUUGUUGUAGAACAGCUCGUUCAUCUCCGUC
rnacentral:lncRNA from 1 species